rnacentral:rRNA from 1 species
UUUAUAUGAGAGUUUGAUCCUGGCUCAGGAUGAACGCUGGCGGCGUGCCUAAUACAUGCAAGUCGAACGAGUUCUCGUUGAUGAUCGGUGCUUGCACCGAGAUUCAACAUGGAACGAGUGGCGGACGGGUGAGUAACACGUGGGUAACCUGCCCUUAAGUGGGGGAUAACAUUUGGAAACAGAUGCUAAUACCGCAUAGAUCCAAGAACCGCAUGGUUCUUGGCUGAAAGAUGGCGUAAGCUAUCGCUUUUGGAUGGACCCGCGGCGUAUUAGCUAGUUGGUGAGGUAAUGGCUCA